rnacentral:lncRNA from 1 species
CAUCGUAACUUUCCAUGCGAGGCAAUUUUUUAGUGAUAUCCGCCUUUUCCUUGAAAAUAUCUGAGGAAAAAGGGGAUGCUUUCUUUCCCGGAGCGUCCUUCACCUGCUGGACCUCAGCCAGUUGUUUUCUGAGCUCUUUAAGCUCCUUUACUAGAAAAUCAACGCCUUCAGGCUGUGGGGAAACCUCUUUCUCAUGAACAACAUUAUGUCUCUGAGAGGAUCGACCUCCUCCUGCCGAUCCUACUGCCCUAGAGGG